rnacentral:rRNA from 1 species
UACCCGCAGCACAAGUGGUGGUCAUUAUUAUUGGGCCUAAAGCGUCCGUAGCUGGCUUGUUAGAUGCCUGGGUAAAUCGAUGCGCUCAACGUAUCGACUUCCGGGUAGACCGGCAAGCUCGAGACCGGGAGAGGUGUAGGCUACUCGAGGGGUAGGGGUAAAAUCCUGUAAUCCUUCGGGGAGGACCAGUGGCGAAGGCGCUACACUAGAACGGCUCUGACAGUGAGGGACGAAGCCCUGGGGCGCAAACCGG